GAUUCCCGUAGUAACUGCGAGUGAACCGGGAAAAGCCCAGCGUGAAGGCUCUUGCGUGUAUGCGUAAGAGCGGUGCCACGUUUAUGUAGCAGUGACUGCUUACAGACAGAAGCCCCACAAGUCCCUCUGACAAGGGCUGUGAACCAGAGAUGGUGCUAGUCCAAUAGUGGUGGCCGAAGUCAGUAGCAAACUGUUACAUGCUAGAGUCAGGUUGCUUGAGAGUGCAACCUAAAGUUGGUGGUAAACUCCACCUAAGGCUAAAUAUAACUGUGAGACCGAUAGCAAACAAGUACCGUGAGGGAAAGUUGCAAAGAACUUUGAAGAGAGAGUUCAAAAGGACGUGAAACCGUAUGUAGGUAAACGGGUGGACCCACGAAGUCAAGCUGGAGGAAGGAUUCAGCCGUUUUAACGUAGGCAGCUUUGCUGUUCGUGGUCUUCGUUGAAGACAGAACAGUAGGCAUAUGUCUGCGUUGAGCGGUGCAUUUCCAUUCCUCCAAUGCUGAAGCUCUGACUAGUUGCAUGACACUGGCAGCUGUAAAGAUGUGCUGGGGAAGAUAGCUCGAUGUUGCUUGCGACAUACGUGCUUUACAGACCCGGUGCUGUUACUUGCUGUGUCGGUGACUAGGUUAAAUUCUCCACUUGUUGGGGUGUUUGGGUGUACAAGCGUUAUCGCUUCUAGCUCGGCUAACGGGUGAUGCAUUUGAGUGCUUUGCAUGCAAAGUGUUGCUCGUUAGUCGGUUAAGGAGAGUGAGUUCGCUUGUAUGCCCGAUCGAGA
rnacentral:rRNA from 1 species